AGGACGAACGCCGGCGGCGUGCUUAACACAUGCAAGUCGAGCGGAAAGGCCCUUCGGGGUACUCGAGCGGCGAACGGGUGAGUAACACGUGAGCAACCUGCCCUUAGCUCCGGGAUAGCUCCGGGAAACCGGAAUUAAUACCGGAUAUGACCUAGGCCGACAUCGGCUGUGGUGGAAAGUUUUUCGGCUGGGGAUGGACUCGCGGCCUAUCAGCUUGUUGGUGGGGUAAUGGCCUACCAAGGCGACGACGGGUAGCCGGCCUGAGAGGGCGACCGGCCACACUGGGACUGAGACACGGCCCAGACUCCUACGGGAGGCAGCAGUGGGGAAUCUUGCGCAAUGGGCGAAAGCCUGACGCAGCGACGCCGCGUGGGGGAUGAAGGCCUUCGGGUUGUAAACCCCUUUCAGCAGGGACGAAGCGAAGUGACGGUACCUGCAGAAGAAGCGCCGGCUAACUACGUGCCAGCAGCCGC
rnacentral:rRNA from 1 species